rnacentral:rRNA from 1 species
UACGUAGGGUGCAAGCGUUGUCCGGAAUUAUUGGGCGUAAAGAGCUCGUAGGCGGUUUGUCGCGUCUGCUGUGAAAACCCGAGGCUCAACCUCGGGCCUGCAGUGGGUACGGGGCAGACUAGAGUGCGGUAGGGGAGAUUGGAAUUCCUGGUGUAGCGGUGAAAUGCGCAGAUAUCAGGAGGAACACCGGUGGCGAAGGCGGGUCUCUGGGCCGAUACUGACGCUGAGGAGCGAAAGCGUGGGGAGCGAACAGG